rnacentral:rRNA from 1 species
GGGUGAGUAACACGUAUCCAACCUGCCGUCUACUCUUGGACAGCCUUCUGAAAGGAAGAUUAAUACAAGAUGGCAUCAUGAGUCCGCAUGUUCACAUGAUUAAAGGUAUUCCGGUAGACGAUGGGGAUGCGUUCCAUUAGAUAGUAGGCGGGGUAACGGCCCACCUAGUCUUCGAUGGAUAGGGGUUCUGAGAGGAAGGUCCCCCACAUUGGAACUGAGACACGGUCCAAACUCCUACGGGAGGCAGCAGUGAGGAAUAUUGGUCAAUGGGCGAGAGCCUGAACCAGCC